AACUUUCAACAACGGAUCUCUUGGUUCUGGCAUCGAUGAAGAACGCAGCGAAAUGCGAUACGUAGUGUGAAUUGCAGAAUUCAGUGAAUCAUCGAAUCUUUGAACGCACAUUGCGCCCUUUGGUAUUCCAAAGGGCAUGCCUGUUCGAGCG
rnacentral:rRNA from 1 species